rnacentral:lncRNA from 1 species
AUAAAACAGAACAACUUUUGGAUUCCCAAAGUGAAAUUCAGGAAAUGUUUGUAAAGUAGUGGAUCAAUGACAAUGUGUAUCAUUUUAUUGUAUUUAUGGAGGACAAAGAAAUGCACCAUUUUAAGCAAAGCAAAUUGAAACUGAAUUUUUGUUUGAAAAAUCUAUCAGAAUUGGAGAAAUAACAUUCUUUUAAGAUUUUUUUCAACUGCAUUUUCAUCACUUGAAUUAGUAUUAACAUUAUAUAUAAUCAAUUCAAAGCGGUUGUCAGGUUAAAAAUGACGCUCAAAGAUAUAUGGCUCCGAAAGACUGCAGGAUAAUUUCAAAUUCUUGAUUUUUCACUUGAAGGAAGUGUGGUUCAAUUGAGUGUGGAAACCAUGAUCUAGUCGCAAUGUUUCGAUGUUUAAAGAUAUAAUUUCUGAGUUUAAUGAAGUAUGUUGUCAAUCACAAUGUAUUGUCAAAAUGUUAAGGCACUUUGAGGAAAUUAAUUUGCUUCAAGAAAUGGAAUUUGUUGUCAACGACAAUUUCUUGCCAACCACUUGACAACUGAUCUGGUAUUACAACGAAUGGACUUCUCUUAACAUCUUAACAUCUAAACAUCUAAACAUCGUGAUAAAAUCAUUUUCCAUACUCAAGCGAAAAUUUUGGUCACUUUACCAAAGACAGUUAGUUCGUAUCCAAAAAAGUAAAAGAGCAUGUUCGAUUUACUUUGUCUUUGAGCCAUAUAUUUUCUUUGUAAAACAACCUGGUGUUAAGCUUUUGAUUUCUCGGUCAAACUCGUAAAAUUUAUCAUUGUUGUUUUACAAUAUUUAUUUUGAAGUAUAAACAUUAUCUUGAAAAGACCAGGUUCUCUUGUUUCCCAAGAAUUGACUUUUUUAAUGUUAAUUCGUGGGCAAACAAGUUUUUUAAUGUUAUGUUUUCACUUGUGCUUAUUCACUUGUGUUAAACACAAUGUUAAUUGUUCUCUAUGUGCCAUGUUCUGUUUUCUUCUAUUGUUAUUAUUUAAAUAAGUAUGCAGUGGUUGUUCUCUUUUUAUUGAUAUUCAAUUUGUAAUUACAAUUCUUUUCAAUAAAUUGUUCAUUAAUUAUACAAGAGACUCCUUUUUAAUUAAAAAUUCAAUUCCCAUGGGAAUUGAAAAAAAAAAUUAAAAAAAUUUCCCUACCCCGGCCGGCUCCCCAAGUACUACCUCUACUUCAAGCAGAAGUACUUCUACUACAUAGUAAAAGUACUUCUACUUAAAGUAGAGGUAGCACUCGGAGAGCCAGCCGGGGUAGCGGGGCAACGAGAAGACCAACCUUGCAAAUGCUUAAACAAUGCAAAUUGCUAAGUCGAUCUUCUCUUGAGAGCAGCCACGCGCAUACCUAGCAAAUGUAAACAACAAGCAUUAGUAACAAAUACUCGGCAUGCAAAUUUUGAAUCCCAUGGCCGAAAUGACAGGUGCCCCCCACUGAUUCCUACCAACUGCCUACCUGCCUCAAUCCUAAGCUGUCUGCCUCAGUUCUAAGCUGUCUGCCUUGGUCCUAAGCUACCUGCAUCCCAUUCGUAACUUCCGCUUUCCUCACCAUCACACAGACACUCACAACUGCCCAACCUGCCACCAGCCCGAACUGCCCACCCUUAAAACUAAAGGAAUUAAAAUUUUGGUAAAGUAUACAUAAUUAAUUUAAUUAAUCGGAUAUUUUAGGCCAAACGUAAACAGAUAAAUUGAGAAAGACCGCGUAUACAAACAGGUGAGUUUCUUACUUGCCUCUUAAUAUACAUGUAAUUUACAUAGAAAAAUAUACGAAAUCCGGAUUUUUGGGUUUUUCCUUCUAUAUUACUUUACUAGCAGACUAUAAUUUUAGUUUAAAUAACGAAACUGAAUAAAUUUUGCUGACGUUAGGAAUUUAGUCCUUUUGUUCCGAAAGAUAUUUUCUUUUUAAAUAUGCUCUCAAAAUUUUAAUCCUUUAGUUUAGCCUAACCCCAUGCAUCCUACACACACGGCGCACACUCUCGCACUCCAUACAUUUAGCUAACAAAUUACGUUAUAAACAAAAAAGCGAAAUAAAAAGAUAAAUUACGUUAUCACUAGCUAUCCUAUAACCCACUUAGACUGAGUUUUGGAUUCUGGUUCGAAACGUAAAAUCUUAACUGAAAGGGUCUGGGCUUGAGUUUUGUUAACUGGUCCGAAAUAUUAAAUAUAUACAAACCUUAAACUUACCUAAACCAAAGGCUCGAUUAAAUAAGCAUGAGAAUGCAUAGAAUCAUUUUAAAAACUUUUUCAUAAGAAUUUAAAAUCCAAAUGAAAAUUACAAUAUCGCUAGUUUAGUGAGCAUAUAGUAUUGUUUCUUUAUAUAGUUCAAACAGAUCGAAACAGACUUAACCGCAAUUCUCAUACUUAUUUAACCGGAACGCCUUGAUGACAUUUGCAUGGCACGUCGCAGCUGCUCUCAAGCACUUCCGUAAUUUGCCUUAAGCCUGCCGCACACGAGAGCUAUCUGCUGAGCAAAAAGUUACUCGUGCCUGUUAGCUCAGCAGAUAGCUCACCGUGUGCGCGUACAUUUUACUGAGUUUUUUGCCUCAUGCAACCUUUUCUCACGUAUCAAACAUGUUUGAUCGGUGAGCUAUCAGCUGAGCUAACAGGCACGAGUAACUUUUUGCUCAGCAGAUAGCUCUCGUGUGCGGCAGGCUUAAGGGCAGACAAACAAGAUACUUAUCAUAUAAUCAAAGAGGAUUCAUCAUUAUAAAGUCAAAUUUCCACUAUGAAAUCAACAUCAACAUGAAAACAAAGCAUAUAUAUUCCCCUGGGAAUUGAAAAUACGGGAAAAAAAUAAAAUUGCAAAAUACCUUUACGCUUGCGCAAAAUAAAAACAAAUUGGCAUAAAAACAAAGUAUAGUAUAUUCCCAUGGGAAUUAUUAAACACACGGAAAAUAAAUCCACCAGUUCUUAACUUUUUAACACUUGAAAUACUAAGGGUUGCUUGUUUUCAUCUUAUGUUGAUUCAUUGUGAAUACAAGACUUAUCCCAUAGUUAACAGAAUAUAAACAUGGAUAGGGACCGCAUCCGCGACAGUGAUUUUAUUAUCAACACCAGCUUACGAUGAAAAGAGGAAAUGCUUGUUACUAGAUUCUAAGCCAUGUUUAUUUUACAUUAACUAUUUGGGUGACGCGGAUUAAUAUUUUGUUUUCAGAAAAGACUACAAUCGAAAAUAUUCC